rnacentral:rRNA from 2 species
GCUCAGGAUGAACGCUGGCGGCGUGCCUAAUACAUGCAAGUCGAACGAGUUCUCGUUGAUGAUCGGUGCUUGCACCGAGAUUCAACAUGGAACGAGUGGCGGACGGGUGAGUAACACGUGGGUAACCUGCCCUUAAGUGGGGGAUAACAUUUGGAAACAGAUGCUAAUACCGCAUAGAUCCAAGAACCGCAUGGUUCUUGGCUGAAAGAUGGCGUAAGCUAUCGCUUUUGGAUGGACCCGCGGCGUAUUAGCUAGUUGGUGAGGUAAUGGCUCACCAAGGCGAUGAUACGUAGCCGAACUGAGAGGUUGAUCGGCCACAUUGGGACUGAGACACGGCCCAAACUCCUACGGGAGGCAGCAGUAGGGAAUCUUCCACAAUGGACGCAAGUCUGAUGGAGCAACGCCGCGUGAGUGAAGAAGGCUUUCGGGUCGUAAAACUCUGUUGUUGGAGAAGAAUGGUCGGCAGAGUAACUGUUGUCGGCGUGACGGUAUCCAACCAGAAAGCCACGGCUAACUACGUGCCAGCAGCCGCGGUAAUACGUAGGUGGCAAGCGUUAUCCGGAUUUAUUGGGCGUAAAGCGAGCGCAGGCGGUUUUUUAAGUCUGAUGUGAAAGCCCUCGGCUUAACCGAGGAAGCGCAUCGGAAACUGGGAAACUUGAGUGCAGAAGAGGACAGUGGAACUCCAUGUGUAGCGGUGAAAUGCGUAGAUAUAUGGAAGAACACCAGUGGCGAAGGCGGCUGUCUGGUCUGUAACUGACGCUGAGGCUCGAAAGCAUGGGUAGCGAACAGGAUUAGAUACCCUGGUAGUCCAUGCCGUAAACGAUGAAUGCUAGGUGUUGGAGGGUUUCCGCCCUUCAGUGCCGCAGCUAACGCAUUAAGCAUUCCGCCUGGGGAGUACGACCGCAAGGUUGAAACUCAAAGGAAUUGACGGGGGCCCGCACAAGCGGUGGAGCAUGUGGUUUAAUUCGAAGCAACGCGAAGAACCUUACCAGGUCUUGACAUCUUUUGAUCACCUGAGAGAUCAGGUUUCCCCUUCGGGGGCAAAAUGACAGGUGGUGCAUGGUUGUCGUCAGCUCGUGUCGUGAGAUGUUGGGUUAAGUCCCGCAACGAGCGCAACCCUUAUGACUAGUUGCCAGCAUUUAGUUGGGCACUCUAGUAAGACUGCCGGUGACAAACCGGAGGAAGGUGGGGAUGACGUCAAAUCAUCAUGCCCCUUAUGACCUGGGCUACACACGUGCUACAAUGGAUGGUACAACGAGUUGCGAGACCGCGAGGUCAAGCUAAUCUCUUAAAGCCAUUCUCAGUUCGGACUGUAGGCUGCAACUCGCCUACACGAAGUCGGAAUCGCUAGUAAUCGCGGAUCAGCACGCCGCGGUGAAUACGUUCCCGGGCCUUGUACACACCGCCCGUCACACCAUGAGAGUUUGUAACACCCGAAGCCGGUGGCGUAACCCUUUUAGGGAGCGAGCCGUCUAAGGUGGGACAAAUGAUUAGGGUGAAGUCGUAACAAG